UACGUAGGGUCCGGGCGUUGUCCGGAAUUAUUGGGCGUAAAGGGCUCGUAGGCGGUUGGUCACGUCGGGAGUGAAAACUCAGGGCUCAACCCUGAGCGUGCUUCCGAUACGGGCCGACUAGAGGUAUGCAGGGGAGAACGGAAUUCCUGGUGUAGCGGUGGAAUGCGCAGAUAUCAGGAGGAACACCGGUGGCGAAGGCGGUUCUCUGGGCAUUACCUGACGCUGAGGAGCGAAAGCAUGGGGAGCGAACAGG
rnacentral:rRNA from 1 species